rnacentral:rRNA from 1 species
CAGAGUUUGACAUGGCUCAGAUUGAACGCUGGCGGCAGGCCUAACACAUGCAAGUCGAGCGGAAACGACACUAACAAUCCUUCGGGUGCGUUAAUGGGCGUCGAGCGGCGGACGGGUGAGUAAUGCCUAGGAAAUUGCCUUGAUGUGGGGGAUAACCAUUGGAAACGAUGGCUAAUACCGCAUAAUGCCUACGGGCCAAAGAGGGGGACCUUCGGGCCUCUCGCGUCAAGAUAUGCCUAGGUGGGAUUAGCUAGUUGGUGAGGUAAUGGCUCACCAAGGCGACGAUCCCUAGCUGGUCUGAGAGGAUGAUCAGCCACCCUGAAAGC